GACGAACGCUGGCGGCGUGCUUAACACAUGCAAGUCGAACGGAAAGGCCUGCUUUCCCUUGUGGAUUGCGGGUACUCGAGUGGCUAACGGGUGAGUAACACGUGCGUCAUCUGCCCCCAACUUGGGUAUAAGCCUGGGAAACUGGGUCUAAUUCCCGAUAGGGCUGCAGGGUGGUGCCUGUGGUGGAAAACGAUUUUCUAGUGGUUGGGGAUGAGCUCGCGGCCUAUCAGCUUGUUGGUGGGGUAAUGGCCUACCAAGGCGGCGACGGGUAGCCGGCCUGAGAGGGUGGACGGCCACAUUGGGACUGAGAUACGGCCCAGACUCCUACGGGAGGCAGCAGUGGGGAAUAUUGCACAAUGGGCGGAAGCCUGAUGCAGCGACGCCGCGUGGGGGAUGACGGCCUUCGGGUUGUAAACUCCUUUCGACCGCGAGGAAGCCACCUGGUUGGAAGGGUGGUGACGGUAGUGGUAGAAGAAGCACCGGCUAACUACGUG
rnacentral:rRNA from 1 species